AUUUAUGGGUAAAUAAAGUCUAGCCCUGCCCACUGAUUUGUUUUAAAGGGCCGCGCGUAUAUUGACCGUGCGAAGGUAGCAUAAUCAUUAGUCUUUUAAUUGGAGGCUUGUAUGAAUGGUUGGACAAAAAGUAAGCUGUCUCGAUUAUAAUAAUUGAACUUAACUUUUAAGUGAAAAGGCUUAAAUGUUUCAGGGGGACGAUAAGACCCUAUAAAGCUUGACAAUAACUUCGUUAUAUUAUAAAUUGUUAGUAUAACUUGAUUUUAACGGGGGUUUGUUUCGUUGGGGCGACGGGAAUAUAAUAAAUAACUGUUCUUUUAAAUAUAAUUACAAAAAUGUUUGGUAAAUAAUUGAUCCUCUAUUAGAGAUUAAAAGAUUAAGUUACUUUAGGGAUAACAGCGUAAUCUUCUUUGAGAGUCCACAUCGACAAGAAGGUUUGCGACCUCGAUGUUGAAUUAAGGUAUCCUUAUAAUGCAGCAGUUAUAAAGGAGGGUCUGUUCGACCUUUAAAUCCUUACGUGAUCUGAGUUCAGACCGG
rnacentral:rRNA from 1 species